rnacentral:sRNA from 1 species
CACACACACACACACACACACCAGCUGCCCUUAUAUAACCUUGACAUAAUUUCCUUUUAGAAAGGGCAUUCAAGGAAGAAAUCCUCAUAAAGAUAUCACAGCUGCCUCCUGCCACUGGAGCAGAGGGACAGCUUUUGAAUUGUGGGAAAGCAGGCAGCAAAGUCAGGGCUGAGCUCAUGCUCCGGGCAGCCUAUGGUGUACAGCAUAGGAUGUGUAAGAGUAAAAUGUGCGCAUAACUGCACAAGUCAACAUACCUUGACUCCUGCAGGCAGGAAGUACACAAUCAAAGAACAGGGUAGAGAACAAAGACCUCCCGAUCUUAUCAGGCAUUGCCUGGAUCAUUUUAUCCAGCCUGUGCUGCCCUUCUCCUUCACACCCUGGCAAUGUUACUUUCCAUCUGGACUCCCAGUUGCGAGAAGCCUUUUCCACACAGGGCCCAUGAAUGCUGAUUUCUGUUGAACUGCGCCCCCUUUCCAGUCUUGCCCUGUUGUGGGUCUUGUUAGACAUAGUUAGAAAGUGAAAGCCUUUCCAGGAUUUCACUGAUCUCAUGGUCUACUGUGACCAAAAGCUUGAGACAUUUCAAAUAAAUCCAGGUGUGCACACCUGUAAUCCCAGCACUAAGGAAGUGGGGACAGGAGGAUUGGCUCUCCUCAAAUACAUAAUGAGUUUGAUACCAGCUCUACGGUAUGAGUAAGCCUGCCUCAGAAGCGAGACAAACAUCCAGCACUGGGGAGGCAGGAGAAUAUCUGUGAGUUCACAGCCUAUUCUACAUAAUGAGAUCCAGAACAGAAAGGACUACAUAGAGAGUCCUUCAUCAGCCAACCUCAGGGCCUUUGCACCUGCCCAUAAUGCUCCUCUCUGCCCUCUUCACUAGGCUCCGGUUGCUGCGAAACAGUACCACCCCUGGGCAUCUGGUGCAUGCAACUUCUUGUUCGAGGUUCCAUCACCUUCUGACCUCUUCAUCCCAUUGCUUAGUUCUAAAACAUUCUAGUCUUUAAAAAAAAAUCUACCGUGAUUAUUGGCUUAUUUCAACUUCCUGAUUUAUACUUAGUUUCCCAACAGAAGUUAUUUAAUAAAUAUUUGCACUUCAGGAGAGUUACAUUUUUAACUGUGGUGUAUGUGUGUGUGAGAGAGAGAGAGACAGAGAGACAGAGAGACAGAGAGAGACAGAUACUCAUACCACAGUAUGCAUAUGGAAGGCAGAGGACCACUGCUGACUCUUGGCUUAUGUCUUACUUGAAGCAUAGUUUCUUAGUUGCUUGCCCCUCACAUAUCGGACUCUCAGGCCUGUGAGCUUCCUGGAGUCUCCUAUCUCAGACUCACUCCAAUCUUGCCACAGGGCCACUGGGAGAGCAAGCACACAUACCUGGCCUUAUGUGGGUUCUGAGGAUUUAGGCUCAAGUCCGAACUAAUAAGUAACUGUACUGUGGUCUUAAGCUGUUGACUAAGUUGCCACCCACAACCUACUUGACAUGAUUACUUCAACUCAUCUAUGAUUAAAAUUAUCACCUUACUCCCAUUGUGUUCUUCCAAGCAGGAAGACUGAAAUAUCAAGUGAUGAGUAACCCAGGCUUACACCUUUGUGAUCGAUUUAAAGAUCAGUUUUGUAAUUCCCAGGACACCUUGAAUUCUUGCGAGCAUCUGGUAUUAACUAUUUGUGAAUCCAAGAGCAGCUGACAUUUAAAAUCUAGCAGAUUUUCUUUGGAACUUUAACUUAAAUUUCAUAAUGACUUUAGACUUUUGGUUUGGAUAUGAAGUUGCACCAUUUAACCAAGCCUGUACUUGACUAUGGUAUGCUCUAUACAUCAGUUGUGGGGGGAAAGCAUUAGAAGAACACGGUAGGGCAGAGUGAGGCCCUGCUGUAGACCUAUUAGUGCUGGUGACAUGGACUGGAUUGUGUCUUCUUUCUGUUCCCUUUGUGUUCUCCACAGCUCUUCCUCCAUCCGGAAACAUGGCUUCAUCCUGCUGUCCUUGAGGAUUUCAGCCUGUUCCUUUUGCUCUGUUAGCUGGCCAACAUCCAUGGAGCCAAUUCCAAAUACGGAAUCUCUACUAUGAGAAGCAUCUGGCUUACGCCCGGUUCUUGGUGCCGUGUCGGUGUGGGCAUCGACAAAUGGAGGUUCCACCAAGAUCAGAGAAGAGAAGAUUUCUGAAGGCUGGCCAGUGAGGAAGCAGGGACAUAUUGGGGCAGUUUUCAAAUGAAGCCAAAGAGUGAUGGACGAAUUGCCCACGUUUCCCUUGACAGCAGCACGAAAGGCAUCGGUGUUGGGAUGGGCAUUUGGAGGAUCUGGGUAUGAAGCCAUUGAGUUCCAGAGUUUACAGGACAGAUUGAUGAGGUUUAAUGGUUCCGCUUGUGUGCCUCCUUCUUCAGGGUCCUUUGUCAGGUAAGCCUUUGUGAUUUCCUGGAAUUCUGAUAAGCUUAAACAUCACUAUUUCUUCAUUUAUCGUCUCCCUCCCUGUCCCACUCCUUUCUAAAUUAGCCAUUCAGAAGGGGAGUGAGGCUCAGCCAUAAGGAACAUGCAAAGUCCCCCUGCGUUAGGGAUAAAAGGCAAAAGAUGAUGUCUAGAGUACGCGUGCUACGCGUGGCCCCGAUCGAGUGUGCUUACACCCUUCGUGUGCAAAGAAAUGGCCUGGCUGAGUUACUCUUACUUUUACCAUGUGUUCCUCUGUGCAAUACCAAAAUUAUUCUUUCCCAGCCCACAGGCAUACAACACACACACACACACACACACACACACACACACACACACACACACACGCUGCAUGCUGUUUUUUUUCUUCAAAAGGAAGACUGGAGUCCCUGUCUCCUUUCAUGAGCCUCCUCCUGAUCUUGGUGACACAGCCUUAGUAAGUACUAUUUUCCCAGGCCCCAUCAUGCUGGCUCUCCUUGGGAGUAUUUUUUCUUCCUGGAAUGCCUGGAAUUACUGGAAUGCUAUUUACCCACAAACUGCCUUCAACUAGUCAUUUCCUACCUAUUCAGCAACUGUCCUGGCUUGCUUCCCCUGCUCUGAGACACACUCUGACUAAAAGCAAUUUGGGAGGAAAGGGUGUGGGUUUGGGGGUGAGGGGUUUGCUUAGGCAUCUGUCACUAUCAGAUGCCAAGACAGGACUGUCCUUAACUGUACUGCUCCUCUUGGCUCAUUCAGCUUCAUUCUUACCCAACCCUGGCCACCUGUUCAGGAGUACCAGCUGCAGUGAGUUGGACUUUCCCUUAUCACUGAUUAAUCAAGUGAAUGCUCCAAAGAAGUGCCCCCAGAUCAGUUCUCAGUGGACGUUCUCUUCGACCUGGUGACUCUUGUUUUGUGAAGUUGACCCAAAUCAACCAGCACAGUGGCUCACCUAUGGAGUUUUCAGGCUUCCUUAACUGGACAAGAGAAUUGGCUUCACUGCCUUUCUCCAUAAUUAUCUGUUAUUCUUUGGCUUCAGACUCUGCAACAAGGGACUGAGCAGAGAACUAACUUACCAGAUGGUGCGGAACCCGGGAGGAGUUGGGUCCCCAGUCUGAUGGCUCCAGUCUUUCCUGCCUGUCCAGGGACCACUUCUCUGCCCCUAUCAGUCUGGAGACAUCAUUUCUUCGGACUCUAGCCAUGCAGUCAUCACCUCCUCACUGGGAUUCUGGAUCUUUGCCAACUCUUGAUCAGCAUGACAUCCUCAGGACCAGCUUGACUCCGACUGCUGCAAUAUCCACAAUUAAAAAGGACCAGCCCCUACUGCUGCUGAGGCCAGGACCUGUGCCAUCAUCUGUGAAUAUACUGCUUCCACAGCAACAAAUUCUAACUGGGUUAAAACAGGGUCAAAAGAGACAAGACAGGCAAAAGUCUCUUGUGAUUCUCUCAGGCUCUGGCCCCUCCCUGGCUCACUCCUUUCUCCUUUAUUGUUCUCAUAUUUAUGUUGUUACCUUGUCUUUAAAUAUUUUACCUACCGAACUUCCCCCACCUUGCCCUACAACAGCUCCAUUUAUUCCUGAUGCAUCUGCACAAAGACCUUCUAUAUGCCAUAGAGAUACUUUGACUAAAGGGAUCUUCUUCCCUUUCAGUCCAGGCCAGAAGCAAUUCCUUACAUCAGUCCUCUAUUUUCUCCAGCUCCCUGCCUUUGCUGCUCUGUGCUCCCUGCUACUUCUGCUGGCUCAGUUUCUGUGAAGUGUGUUGGCGAUGGGAACAGUCGCUGUCACCUUGAAUCAACUCAGUGCCCACUUCCUGUCACUUUCCCUCUCCAUUUCUUCCAAUCCCUCAGUUUCACCAGGAAGUCUUUCAGUUUCACUCCAAAGAUGAGACAUCUGCUUAUGACCCUCUAAUAAGCAUUUCCCAUGUCUCCUCAGGAAUACAAGACAGCAGUCACCUGAUCCACUGCGCCUCAUCAAGUUAAGACUCUGCCUUUCUGGUAAAGACCCUCUUCAACAGAAAACAGCUAUAACACCCCUGCCUCACACUUGUAUAUCCUGUCAGAGUUAGGAAGUAUAACUUCUUGCUGAAAGACUACACUUGCCUUGCUGACUAUGAAGUCAUUUCCACCCCAGUAAGAGGCCACACCCCAUCUUCUUCUGUAGGAACCUUGGCCAUCUGCACAGAUUGAGUGGCUAAUCUGCUUCCCUGCCUGAAUGAAUGUGAUCCCACCUAAGGGCAGACCCAGCCUCUCUUCCUUCCACCUCCCAUCUCUCCACAGCUGCCUUUAGUAACCUAACAAUCACAAGAAAGAACCCUGUGUUUGUGAGUGCAUCUUUGGCCCAUGCGUCUCUGCUCUUCCCCCACCUGUAGGUCUAGUAGAGCUCGAUGUUCCAGGCUUUUCAGGUUGCGAGGCAUUCUUAGUGAGUACUAAAUGCCCAUAAGCUAAAGAAGUAUGUCUGACACUCUAGUGUGGUUUUUCCUGGGUUUUUUUUUUUUCCUUCCCCAGUUCCAGAAAUUAAUGCAGGCCUGUGUGUGCUGGUCUGCCUCCUAGUCUGAAUGAGUCUGUUUAAUUUCUUUUCCUAUAGUUAUUUCUUUUACUGCCUAUGGAGGAGUGGUUUGCCUCUGUGUAUGCCUUCGUGCACCAUGCAUGUGCAGGGCCCAUGAAAAGGAAGGAAUUGGAUCCCCAGAACAGAGUUACAGAUUGCUGUAAACCACCACGUGGGUCCUGAGAAUCAAACACUGGUCCUCUGCACAAGCUGUUAAGUGUUCUGAGCUGCUGAGGCAGCUCUCCAGCACCUAAGUGGGUUUUUAUUUUUUCUUUAACUCCCUCUUCAUGGAUGGUGAUAGAGUGCCUCACCCGUGAAACAGGAUUUCUGCAAGGUGACAGACAAUCUCACUCCUCCUUGCCUGGCUGUCCUAGAAAGAAGUAUCUGUUGGAAUGUCCUGUCUCACCCUGGGUGAGCAAGCACGGGAGAGAGACCACAGGGGAACUUGGUGCAACUCUUCCAGACCUCAUCCCAUCCCAUAAAGGGUUACGGCCAUCUUUUUUUGUCUCUGGGAGACCAUUCAAUUUCCCUCAAGAGAGAUUCUGCCUCUUGCCCUGUAUCUCUUGAAGGUCCCUUGUCUCUUUUAUGCAUCCUGUCCCUUUAAGCAGCCGUAGUUCUCUAAGAGGUAGAAUUGCUGCUUUUCAUGGCACAGUAGAGAUUGUUUUCGUCUCGAAGAGGGUGUUGACUGAACUGAUCAGUAGAAUCAGACGUUUCUAGCUGCCAAUAUGUCCAUUUUCUUCUAUUUAUUUUAGUAAAGGGCCAAGCUCUUACGUGUUCUUUCAACCUGUACAGAGCAAGAUUAAAACAGAGGGCAAAAAGAGAGGCUGGUAUGAGUUUGAGCACAGUGGAGUCUGUCUUAGCAUUUGCUUUUUGAAGUGGUGUGUGUGUGUGUGUGUGUGUGUGUGUGUGUGUGUGUGUCAUGUGCACAAGUGCCAUGUGCAUGAACCCCGAGAAGGAGGAAGAAGUGCUGGAGUUCCAGGCAGUUGUGAGCUACCUGUGUGGGUGCUGAGAAUCUAGGUCUCCCGCUAAAGCAGAAAGUGCUCCUAACCACUGUGCCACACCAUCUCUCCAGCACCCCUCCCCCUUCUUGGAUUUUGGUGAGUUUAACUUGGGAAGCUAGAGCUUCUGAAAGCUACCUACGCAACCCUGAGCUGGAGGUUUCCAGUGUUCAUCAUCUCACAUUCAAGAAGCGUGGAAAAGCAAGGAAGAGGAGCAGGCAGACAGGUGUAGUGUUAGAAUAUGGAGAAUGUGAGAAAAGGCUGAGGCUGGGGGAGAGCUCUGAGGAAGGAGCCAUGCCUGCUGGGCUUGUACGGAGGGUGAGGUAAUUGCACAGAGGCUGAGGUAAUUGCACAGAGGCUAUUUUAGAGCUGGUUCACUUCUGAGUGUACCAUGGUCCAAACCAGUAUGAGUCUCAGACCAACUCAAGAGUUUCUGUGCCCUUUCAGGAAAGGGGCUACAUUUCUGGUUCAUGAUCCACCAUGGGCCCACCCUUACUCUUAAAGAGAGUUCUCUCCUGUCUCAAGGCUUUGUAUAAAAAUCCUUAAAGAGGCUUUAUUGACCGGCUACCUGGCUCUUUGCCUCAUUUUCUAACUUCUACUCAAAAGAAGGCAGAUGUGAUGCUUCAAGCCGCGGCGGCCAUAUUGGACUACAAGGCCCUCUUUAACAACAUACCUAAGAACUAAAAACAGAACGACAACGGAAGCUGGGAACCCUGGGUCCUGAAGGGACACACACAGCCUGUCCUGCUCUGGUUACUCCAGACAGUUUCUGUAAGAAACAGAUGAGAACAAUCAUUUAGGUUGCUGGUGUCAGACCGGUGUCCAACAUCCAGAAAAUUCCUAACUGAGGAGACCAUUCAUCAUAGAAAUAAAUGCAGCUCCUCCCACUGUGCAACUUCCUGAGGAAGAAAUAGAUGGAUCCAAGGAAGCAAAAAAAAUCACCAGGAAUGAUCAACGCAACUGCAUCCCCAGAGCAAGCGUCUUAGGAACUGGGUAGUUACUCAUCUGUAGCUUUUCCACAUUCUUCGAGACGAAAGACGUUUCGUAUGGCUGCUUUGAAGUAACUUAGCAUUAGCCAGAUAACUAUUUUUAAACACGGGUGUGCAUGUAUAUGCAUGUCGGAGUGUAUGUCCAGGUGCGCAUGCCCACAUGCAUGCAGCAUGUGUUUGGAGCAGAGGACCUUAGGGGCCAUCCCUCAGAAAUGCAGUCCACCUCCUUUCGAGGCAGCUUCUCGAACUGGUCUGGAGCUCACCAGCUGGGCUACACUGCUGGCCAGCAGCCCCGGGAUGCUCCCUCUCUGCCUCCAAGACUGAGGUUGUAUGUUGCCAUGGUCUCUGGCAUUUCUACGGAGACCCUGGAGAUUGAGCUCAGGCCCCAUGCUCAUGUGGCAAGCAGUUUACCAUCUGUCAUCUCCCUGUGACUUUUACUUUUGAACUCUAUGGCUUAUAUCAUGAAGUUUGCAACUCUGUGUACGUGAACUCAGCUCAGUGAAAGGUAAACAAGUAAAAGACAAUAGUAAAGGAGCAUGGUGCGUGCCGGGUGGGGACUGUGUAUAUAAUUUUUGUGACCCUUACAACAGUUCUAUGAGGUUGACAUUGGGUUCGCUGCCAAUAAGGAAAUUAGGGGAAGUGGGGUUACCAGGAAGGUAAGUAACUCUCCUCGGGUCUCUCAGACACCAACAAGAUUGGAUUAAAUCUGUCUGCUUCCUCAUGCUGUGCUAUGACCCUUGACCUCACUGUGCUUCGAAGGCAGUGACACUUCCCUGGGUCUACUAAGAAGUAAAUGACAUCCUCCAUGAGAUGUAUCAUGAGAAACUGUUUGUGGGUGACUUUUAUUCCACAAAUGGUACACAGAAGUCCGUGCUCCCAAUGGGAAUGUGGCUGUACUUGGAAACAAGAACUUUGUGGUUAUAAUUAGUCUAGAGGAGGCCAUGUUAGAGCAGGGAGAGCUCUAGUCAGUAACUACUGUCCAUCAUAAGGGAACUCUGGAUGCAGAGGCACAUAAGGGGGAGCAGCACAUGAGUGAGUGUGGAGAGAGGUUGGCAAGCAUCUACAAGCCACAGAAUGCACCAGAUGACAUGUGGCCACCAGGGGCUGAAAGUAACUAGGAAGGACAGUCCCCACAAGCCCCUGGAAUCAGAAGAGCCCUGCUUAUUCCUUGGUGUUAGAUUUCUGGCCUUCAUAAGUGCAUAAAACAAAACAAAAUUGCUGUGCCAACAAAGGGUCUGUAUUUGUGGCCAUGUGCCACAGUCCUGGGAAACUGAGAGGAAAGUGAGUCGCUGGGUUUCAGUAGUCACGUAUUGGCUGAGUAUAACACUGUGCCAUAUUCUAUCGUAAGAAUGGGAUACUGGCCAGAGGGACCGGUAAGCUGCCCAGUACCUGCUCCUGCCUGUUCCAGAAAUGCCCCGAGAAGAUGAGAGGGACUAAGGCUGGCGGCUGGAGUGUGGGAGGAAGAGUCAGUGUGGUGGACAGCCAGAAGCAGACAGCUGAGCUGGGCCAGGAAACAAAACGGUUCCUGCACAGAGAUGCAGAUGCCCCCAUCACUGAACUGGGAAGAGCUCAAGAGUUUCCUCCCCAGUUGCCCUCAACAGACUGAGGAAGGUAAACCAACUUGGUCUCGUGUCUGGGUUCUGAGCGUCUGCUGCAUUUGGACCAACUCAAACCUUCUGAGUAGAGAUUGGCUCUAGUCUCUGAUUUUGUACAAGGCCAAGGGUCUUGUUAAUGAGUUUAUUAAAAGUCCAGUCAGCUGAAGCAAAUGCUUAAAAUCAUGGGGGAGACAAUUACUCAAACAGUACACCAUGAAAAGUGUGAAGUCAUUAGCAACAGAGAUAAGGCCAAAUGAACGUUCUUCUUAAGAUGAAACUAGGCUGAGGAAAAGGGCAGAAUGGCGUCUCGGCUCCAGUGCCUUCUCCUUGUUUGGCUUGUCUCACAGUUUGAGCAACUUCAUUAAGGUUCAACCUCUAUCCUUACAGUGUCAGUCACUGUGGGAGAUAAAAACAAAACCAGUUCAUUCCCGUUGGGGACUUUGUAAAUCUGUGAUCAACACUAUGGGAAUAGUUCUUUUGUCUUUUUAAUACCAGACCCUUCCCUUUCCAGUGGAACGCUCUCAAACAACUGGAAUUUAGCUAACCAGUGCCCAGUCCCCUGCUAUUUUGCUCUGUGUGUACAGGUGCUUGUGUGUG